rnacentral:misc_RNA from 1 species
GCAUGAGUUGUCUUGGACCAGUGUCUUGCAACAUGGACCCCCGCCAUUGUGCUGGCUGACUGUUUGCGACUGUGUCCCAUCAAAAUAUUGUGGUUAAACCUUUGGCCCCAUCGCAAGUGCUUGCAUGCUUAUACCCUACCGAAGGGAAGUGGUGCUUCAUACAUUGUUUCUUUGCGGAAGACACCCCUUGGGUGCUCUGUCGUGGCCCAAAAGUGCUUGUUGCGUUGCYUCGUCGUGCCGUCACAUUAAGUGCUCGGUGCUGCCAAGGCCACCUGGCUCGCACUAUUGGUCUAGGAUGUUGCUAACAGGAAAGGUUCAUGAUCCAUUGGCAUCGGUCCCUAUCGAAAAGCUCGCUCAACUAAAGACAGCUGACUCGGUUAGUUUAUGUUACCAUGUCACGUGGUGGCUGGCAACUAUGGCUUCCGAUGUUAGCUCGUCAACGAGGACGUGCU